GGCGGCGUGCCUAACACAUGCAAGUCAACUUGACUGAAGGAGCAAUCUGACAGUAGAGUGGCGCAAGGGUGCGUAACGCGUAAGUAACUUGCCCAAGGUAAGGAUAACGUCGAGAAAUCGGCGCUAAUACCCUCAUAAUGCAGCGGAUCCGCAUGGAUAUGUUGUUAAAGGUUUACCGCCUUGGGAUAGGCCUGCGUCUGAUUAGCUAGUUGGUGUGGUAACGGCACACCAAGGCUACGAUCAGUAACUGGUCUGAGAGGAUGAUCAGUCACACUGGAACUGAGACACGGUCCAGACUCCUACGGGAGGCAGCAGUGAGGAAUAUUGGGCAAUGCUCGAAAGAGUGACCCAGCAACGCCGCGUGGAGGAUGAAGGUAUUCUAUAUCGUAAACUCCUGUGAGAGCAGACGAAAGACAGAUUAUUAAUCUGGAUGACUGUAUGCUCAGAGGAAGCCCCGGCUAACUACGUG
rnacentral:rRNA from 1 species